AACUCUUAGCGGUGGAUCACUCAGCUCGUGCGUCGAUGAAGAACGCAGCUAGCUGUGAGAAUUUAAUGUGAAUUGCAGGACACAUUGAUCAUCGACACUUCGAAUGCACUUGCAGCCCUGGGUUUCUCCCGGGGCUAUGCCUGUCUGAGCGUCG